AUACUUACCUGGCAGGGGAGAUACCAUGAUCGCGAAGGUGGUUUUCCCGGGGUGAGGCUUAUCCAUUGCACUCCUGAUGUGCUGACCCCUGCGAUUUCCCCAAAUGUGGGAAACUCGACUGCAUAAUUUGUGGUAGUGGGGGACUGCGUUCGUGCUUUCCCCUA
rnacentral:snRNA from 1 species